UGGUGGGGGGAAUUUUUGCGCAAUGGGCGAAAGCCUGACGCAGCGACGCCGCGUGGAGGAUGAAGGUCUUCGGAUUGUAAACUCCUUUUGCAGGGGAAAAUAAUGAUGGUACCCUGCGAAUAAGCCACGGCUAACUCUGUGCCAGCAGCCGCGGUA
rnacentral:rRNA from 1 species